GCCCGGUUAGCUCAAUCGGUAGAGCGUGAGACUCUUACAAAUGCGCGAAAUCUCAAGGUUGCGGGUUCGACCCCCGCAUCGGGCU